AUGGAAUAUUUUCUCCUUCCUACUUUAGAGAAACAGGAAAUGAAAGUGUUGGGGGUUUUAAUUUCACAGAAUGAUAUAUUUCUGUUUUUAGGUGGUAUGGUACAGCAAAAAGGGCACUGGAUUAUGCAGACUGCCCACCUUGAGGCAUGGCGGUCCUACCCAUUAAAAAAGGAAAGGAAGCUGGAGAACUUUGGUGGCUCAAGGAUUGAGUGUCUGCCUUUGGCUCAGGGUGUGAUCCCCAGGUCCUGGGAUCGAGUCCCUCAUAGGGCUCCCUUCAGGGACCCUGCUUGUCCCUCUUCCUAUGUCUCUGCCUCUUUCUGUGUGUCUCUCAUGAAUAAAUAAAUAACAUCUUUAAAAAAUUGAGGAAACAUUUAGUAAACAUUUUGCCCUGGUCCCUCCUGAUGCAAUUUAGACCUCUAUGCUAUUAUCUCAGGCUCAGCGGAAGUCAUUUUCUAUCUAUAUUAUCCUCCUGUUAAGUUUAAAAGAGAAAUCCAGCAGUCCUUGCUCUCUGGGCCAUAGACAGUCCACUUCUCCUGUCCAGAUCCAAAAAUAUUGGACAAUUCCUCUCCAGAAUUUAAAAAAGAAACACACAAAGUGAUAGACACAGCUCUGUUUUAGAGAAUCUAGAUUCAUAUAAAUGAUAAAAAGAAAAAUACUCAAACAUUUAAUUUUUUGUCCAGAUUUUAUAGUUCUUUUCACUUUCAUUUAAGAAUUCUUGCUAUGCUGCUCACUAUCAUAUAGUCAUAUUAAUCUUUCUCCCUACAAUAAGAUUAUACAUUCAGUUCAUUAAAACUCCCAAAUCAGUUGUAAAUGCAGAUACAGUCCAAAUCGUAGUAGAUUUAAAAAGAGAAUUUGAAUACAAAUACUUCAAAUACAGAAAAGAAGAAUGUGGAAGGACACAGUGGGCAAGAAGAAAAGUCUUUUAGAAAUUUUAUGCAGAGCUCUGUGUUUUAUUAGCAGGUACUAAAUUUCUAAGACAUGGAGAACUAUUUUUUUUAGAGAUUUAUGGAUGUAUGUCUCUCUCUUUCUCCCUCUCUUUUUUAUUCAUUGUUUUAAUAACAAAUAAUUAUAAAGGACUUGAAAUGACACUUUCUUGAAAUACUUUUAUUUGCUAGCUUGGAUUUGAAAAAGAAGUGCUAACUAAACCAAAAUUGGACACCAUCUUAUAACAGGUGGCAGAGACCAUAAAAGGGGGAAUGCACAAGGCAAUUUGAUAGUGAGAAGCAGUGUGGUGCCCCUUAGGGAAAGAAACAAGGAGGAAUUGUUUAAAAUCCCAAGAAAGAAAAUAUACAUAACUAUCUCAGGGUACUCAGGACAGUAUUUUCAUUAGCUUUUAAAUACAGAAAUAUUCACCUUUCUCUGGAUUUCAUUUCCUUAAUUUUAUUUUUGUUUAAAGUAGAAAAUGCCCUAAUGUUUCUAAGUGCAGAAAAAUGGAGAAUGGUUUAACUUUCUGGAUCUGGAGACACUGAAAUGUAUUUUUUCUUUCCUUUCACUGUUAAGAAGAACACUGACAUAUUAUUAAGAUUCAGUAGGUUCCCAUGAGCUUGAUAGGGCAUCAGAUCCAUGAAGAGGGGAUCCUUGACAUUCACACCAUUAGAUCACAUGAUUACUGGAUCAUAGAAAUUCUUUAAAAGAAGCUUUCAUUUAAGAACUAUAAUUACAAUUUAAAACACAGUAACACGAAUAUUUUUAUAAGCGAUUCAAUUCAAUGUAUGCUAAAUUAAUUGCAUACAUUCAAGAUUCUGAGUGUGGACACUUAUGUAAAGUUCCAGUGCUAGAAGUUUUUGGGUGACAAUAGAUAGUAAGUAUAAUUUCUCUCAAUGAAGGAAGUUGGGUUCCAACCAAAGAAGAAAAGCAUAAUUAUGGGUGGUGAUCAAACACAGGGAGAAGUGAGUAGAGUGUAGUUGACGAAGACUGUAGGCCGACUCAGGAUUAAAGAUGGGACCACAGGUAAAGUGCUUCCUUUACAGCUCAAUCAUCUGAAAGAGUAUACUGUGCCUGGAGGCACGGUGUUGUCAGUAAAGUCUCCUUUUAAAUUUAGCUCCUAUUUUUGGGUGCUAUCAUUCUAGUUUUGAACACAGUGGUUGGGGCUACUUUUAAAUGCCCUUCCCACUGUCCAUUUCAGGCCAGGAAAAUAAAGCAAUCAAAUUUUCUGUAAAUGAACACUUUGCCAUUGAGUUGAAUAAGAAAUCUGUAUAAAUAUUGUCAUCUUCAUAAUGAAGCUACCAAGUUAUAAUAAAUGUCUUUUCAUUGCAUACAUCAGUUGGAAAUGUACUAAUAGAGAUUGGCACAAUAAACAAUAAAUUGAGGAGGAAAGAUUGAGCAAAAAAUUUAACAAUUAGGCUCAAAUUGAAGAAAUAUUUCCACUAUAGUAUGGUUUUCUUCUGUGCAAACACUGUGGACUUUGCAUAUUUUGAUUGAUAAAAUAUGCUGAAUGAGAUACUUCAAAUUUUUGUACAUCAAUUACAUCAUAAAAAUAAAGUUUUGGGAAGUUUUGAAAAUGUAUUUGUGAACUAUGACUAAUAAUAAGAAAAGGGAAAUGGUGGUUGAAAAGAA
rnacentral:lncRNA from 1 species